rnacentral:rRNA from 1 species
GACGAACGCUGGCGGCGUGCUUAACACAUGCAAGUCGAACGGAAAGGCCCUGCUUUUGUGGGGUGCUCGAGUGGCGAACGGGUGAGUAACACGUGAGUAACCUGCCCUUGACUUUGGGGUAACUUCAGGAAACUGGGGCUAAUACAAGAUAGCAGCUCCUGCUGCAUGGUGGGCGUUGGAAAGUUUCGGCGGUUGGGGUUGGACUCGCGGCUUAUCAGCUUGUUGGUGGGGUAGUGGCUUACCAAGGCUGUGACGGGUAGCCGGCCUGAGAGGGUGACCGGCCACAUUGGGACUGAGAUACGGCCCAGACGCCUACGGGAGGCAGCAGUGGGGAAUAUUGCACAAUGGGCGGAAGCCUGAUGCAGCAGCGCCGCGUGCGGGAUGACGGCCUUCGGGUUGUAAACCGCUUUCGCCUGUGACGAAGCGUGAGUGACGGUAAUGGGUAAAGAAGCACCGGCUAACUACGUG